rnacentral:rRNA from 1 species
UACGAAGGGGGCUAGCGUUGCUCGGAAUGACUGGGCGUAAAGGGCGCGUAGGCGGAUUUGACAGUCAGGCGUGAAAGCCCUGGGCUUAACCCGGGAGGUGCGCUUGAAACUGGAGUGCUCGAACGUGGGAGAGGAAAGCGGAAUUCCUGGUGUAGCGGUGAAAUGCGUAGAUAUCAGGAGGAACACCGGUGGUGUAAACGGCUUUCUGGACCAUAACUGACGCUGAGGCACGAAAGCGUGGGUAGCAAACAGG